rnacentral:ribozyme from 1 species
GGGAUUUUGAUUUGUUGAUGUUCGUUUUAUAUUAUAUCCAACGAAGAGAAGAAAACUUAAAAAUAAAUUAUGAAAUCCCAGUAAAAAUUUAA